UCCUUCCUUGUCAUGGGGUGAGAGAGACGCUCAAUGAACGCGUAGUGAGAGCAUCUCAGCUGACGUCAUGAAACAACACUCACGCACCGACUGGGCUCCGGCUCGGUUCUGGUGCAAUUUUUGGAAAA